rnacentral:rRNA from 1 species
GUGGGGAAUUUUGCGCAAUGGGGGAAACCCUGACGCAGCAACGCCGCGUGAGUGAUGAAGGCCUUCGGGUUGUAAAGCUCUUUUAGUGGGGAAGAAGCCCUCCAGGGCUAAUAUCCCUGGGGUCUGACGGUACCCACAGAAAAAGUUCCGGCUAACUACGUGCCAGCAGCCGCGGUAAUACGUAGGGAGCAAGCGUUGUUCGGAAUUAUUGGGCGUAAAGAGCGCGUAGGCGGUCUAGUAAGUCCGAUGUGAAAUCCCAGAGCUUAACUCUGGAACUGCAUUGGAAACUGCUAGGCUUGAGUGCGGGAGAGGUGAGUGGAAUUCCCAGUGUAGAGGUGAAAUUCGUAGAUAUUGGGAGGAACACCGGUGGCGAAGGCGGCUCACUGGACCGCAACUGACGCUGAGGCGCGAAAGCUCGGGGAGCAAACGGGAUUAGAUACCCCAGUAGUCC